rnacentral:rRNA from 1 species
UUAAACGGCCGCGGUAUUUUGACCGUGCAAAGGUAGCAUAAUCAGUUGUCUUAUAAUUGAAGACUGGAAUGAAUGGUUAAACGAAAUUAGAGCUGUUUCAUUUGUAUUUAUUAGAAAUUGGCUUUUAAAUGAAGAGAUUUAAAUUUGAUUAAGGGACAAGAAGACCCUAUUGAGCUUAAAAUAAUUUUAAGGGUUAAAGUUAUUAUAAAGAUCUAUGAUCUUUAGUAUUUUUUUAGUUGGGGCGACUAAGGAACAGGCGAAGCUUCCUUUAUUUAUUUAAUUGAUAGAUUUUGAUCCUGUAUUACUGAUUAAGAGAAAUAGUUACCAUAGGGAUAACAGCAUAAUCUUCUUGGAGAGUUCUUAUUAAAAAGGGGGGUUGUGACCUCGAUGUUGGACUAAAAUAUCCUAAGGGUGUAGAAGCUUUUAAGGGUUGG